rnacentral:rRNA from 1 species
UACAUAGGUGGCAAGCAUUGUCCGGAAUGACUGGGCGUAAAGGGAGUGUAGGCGGUAGAGCAAGUUAUUUGUGAAAGCCCUCGGCUUAACUGAGGAAAUGCAAGUAAAACUGCUCUGCUUGGAGUAUGGGAGAGGAAGAUGGAAUUUCUAGUGUAGCGGUAAAAUGCUUAGAUAUUAGAAGGAACACCGGAGGCGAAGGCGGUCUUCUGGCCCAAUACUGACGCUGAGACUCGAAAGCGUGGGGAGCAAACAGGAUUAGAUACCCUGGUAGUCCACGCCCUAAACGAUGAAUACUAGACGUAGGAGGUAUCGACUCCUUCUGUGUCGCAGCAAACGCAAUAAGUAUUCCGCCUGGGUAGUACGGCCGCAAGGUUGAA